GACGAACGCUGGCGGCGUGCUUAACACAUGCAAGUCGAACGGAAAGGCCCUGCUUUUGUGGGGUGCUCGAGUGGCGAACGGGUGAGUAACACGUGGGUAACCUGCCCUUGACUUUGGGAUAACUUCAGGAAACUGGGGCUAAUACCGGAUAGGAGCUCCUGCUGCAUGGUGGGGGUUGGAAAGUUUCGGCGGUUGGGGAUGGACUCGCGGCUUAUCAGCUUGUUGGUGGGGUAGUGGCUUACCAAGGCUUUGACGGGUAGCCGGCCUGAGAGGGUGACCGGCCACAUUGGGACUGAGAUACGGCCCAGCCUCCUACGGGAGGCAGCAGUGGAGAAUAUUGCACAAUGGGCUGAAGCCUGAUGCAGCAACGCCGCGUGCGGGAUGACGGCCUUCGGGUUGUAUACCGCUUUCGCCUGUGACGAAGCGUUAGUGACGGUAAUGGGUAAAGAAGCACCGGCUAACUACGUG
rnacentral:rRNA from 1 species